rnacentral:misc_RNA from 1 species
GUUGGUGAACCAGCGGAGGGAUCAUUACGAGAGUGUCACCACUCCCAACCCAUUGUUUACCUACCCGUCCACCGUGCUUCGGCAGGCAGUCCUGUGGGACAGGGCCUCGCCCCCUCCGGGGGGUGCCUGCCGCUGGCCAACCAACCAUUCUAGCUGUUUUUGUACCAUCUGAGUCUUCCACAAAUAAACAAAACUUUCAACAACGGAUCUCUUGGUUCUG